rnacentral:rRNA from 1 species
GGGCUUAACACAUGCAAGUCGAACGAUGACUCUCUAGCUCGCUAGAGAAGAAUUAGUUGGCGGACGGGUGAGUAACAUUUAGGAAUCUGCCUAGUAGUGGGGGAUAGCUCGGGGAAACUCGAAUUAAUACCGCAUACGACCUACGGGUGAAAGGGGGCGCAAGCUCUUGCUAUUAGAUGAGCCUAAAUCAGAUUAGCUAGUUGGUGGGGUAAAGGCCCACCAAGGCGACGAUCUGUAACUGGUCUGAGAGGAUGAUCAGUCACACCGGAACUGAGACACGGUCCGGACUCCUACGGGAGGCAGCAGUGGGGAAUAUUGGACAAUGGGGGCAACCCUGAUCCAGCCAUGCCGCGUGUGUGAAGAAGGCCUUUUGGUUGUAAAGCACUUUAAGCAGGGAGGAGAGGCUAAUGGUUAAUACCCAUUAGAUUAGACGUUACCUGCAGAAUAAGCACCGGCUAACUCUGUGCCAGCAGCCGCGGUAAUACAGAGGGUGCGAGCGUUAAUCGGAAUUACUGGGCGUAAAGCGAGUGUAGGUGGCUCAUUAAGUCACAUGUGAAAUCCCCGGGCUUAACCUGGGAACUGCAUGUGAUACUGGUGGUGCUAGAAUAUGUGAGAGGGAAGUAGAAUUCCAGGUGUAGCGGUGAAAUGCGUAGAGAUCUGGAGGAAUACCGAUGGCGAAGCAGCUUCCUGGCAUAAUAUUGACACUGAGAUUCGAAAGCGUGGGUAGCAAACAGGAUUAGAUACCCUGGUAGUCCACGCCGUAAACGAUGUCUACUAGCCGUUGGGGUCCUUGAGACUUUAGUGGCGCAGUUAACGCGAUAAGUAGACCGCCUGGGGAGUACGGCCGCAAGGUUAAAACUCAAAUGAAUUGACGGGGGCCCGCACAAGCGGUGGAGCAUGUGGUUUAAUUCGAUGCAACGCGAAGAACCUUACCUGGUCUUGACAUAGUGAGAAUCCUGCAGAGAUGCGGGAGUGCCUUCGGGAAUUCACAUACAGGUGCUGCAUGGCUGUCGUCAGCUCGUGUCGUGAGAUGUUGGGUUAAGUCCCGCAACGAGCGCAACCCUUUUCCUUAUUUGCCAGUGGGUUAAGCCGGGAACUUUAAGGAUACUGCCAGUGACAAACUGGAGGAAGGCGGGGACGACGUCAAGUCAUCAUGGCCCUUACGACCAGGGCUACACACGUGCUACAAUGGUAGGUACAGAGGGUUUCUACACAGCGAUGUGAUGCUAAUCUCAAAAAGCCUAUCGUAGUCCGGAUUGGAGUCUGCAACUCGACUCCAUGAAGUCGGAAUCGCUAGUAAUCGCGGAUCAGAAUGCCGCGGUGAAUACGUUCCCGGGCCUUGUACACACCGCCCGUCACACCAUGGGAGUCUAUUGCACCAGAAGUAGGUAGCCUAACGAAAGAGGGCGCUUACCACGGUGUGGUCGAUGACUGGGGUGAAGUCGUAACAAGGUA